rnacentral:rRNA from 1 species
UAUUGGACAAUGGGCGAAAGCCUGAUCCAGCGACGCCGCGUGGGUGAAGAAGGCUUGCGGGUUGUAAAGCCCUUUCAGUGGGGAAGAAAAGCCUCGACCUAACACGUCGGGGUCUUGACGUAACCCAUAGAAGAAGCACCGGCUAACUCUGUGCCAGCAGCCGCGGUAAUACAGAGGGUGCGAGCGUUAAUCGGAAUUACUGGGCGUAAAGCGCGCGUAGGCGGCUUCGCAAGUCGGAUGUGAAAUCCCCGGGCUCAACCUGGGAACUGCAUUCGAGACUGCGUUGCUAGAGUAUGGGAGAGGGAAGUGGAAUUUCCGGUGUAGCGGUGAAAUGCGUAGAUAUCGGAAGGAACAUCAGUGGCGAAAGCGACUUCCUGGACCAAUACUGACGCUCAUGUGCGAAAGCGUGGGGAGCAAACAGG